GUUAUCAAGUUUUACGGUUGAAUGAGAAUAAUAUAAAUAUUCAUAUAAUAUCAAUACCUCUUCAUCGCUGUCUUCGUCCAUUUCGACUGUGGCUUGGCGGGAAUUUGUAAAAAUUAUAUCCCUAAUUCACCCCCAGUCUGCAUUUUAUCCUCAGUCUGCAUUUUAUACCCCCAGUCUGCAUUUUGUACCCAGUCCGGUCUGCAG